GUGGGCGCAGCGACCCCCAGCAACAGCCCAGCCAGGCCGCCGCGCGGGGACUGCCGUCAGCCAGCCUCGGACCAGCCCUUCCACCAGGACCACCCGGCUGAGGAAAAGCACUGCGUGGGGAAGACACAGUGGAGACAGAAAGCAGGAGCCCAGGGCUGCAGAGACCGCGAGGGGAAGAAACCUCAGAAACAUCCUCGGGGACAGGAGGGGACAGGAUGACCUCGAGACGCAUCCGGAGCAGCCGGCAAUCAAAGUCUCAGCACAGAAAUAGCCCAACAGAGGGUGAAGAAGAGAGCGCAGAGCAUAAAGGGAACGGGAGAGAGAAGCUAAGAACAGCAGAGGCCAGGAUGUCCACAGCCUGGCACAGAAAGAAGCAGGACCCCCACAAGGAGCAGCAGAAACAGGAGGGCUCCGGGCAGGGAGGAGAGAGCCGGUGGGGAUCGGGGCACGUUCCAGAAGGAAGGCCACAAGCACAGACCCCCGUCGGCCCUCUGUGACCCCUCCCAGCCUGCUGCCCCCAAGGGCCCCCAGGCAAGCACCGAUCUCUGCAAUGAGACUAAAGUUCGUGUGAAUUGAUCGUAUAAUAUGCAUUAUUUUCUUGCCUGGCUUCUUCACUCAACAUGAUUAUUUCAUCAGAUUUGGAAAAUUUUCAGCUGCAUCCCCUCCCGUCCCGCCCUCUGCUCUCCUCUGGGACUCUGACCACAUCUACGUUAGGUCACACGAAGUUGUCCUGUGCCCACUGAUGCUCUGCAUGUUUUUUCCAGUCUCUUUUCUCUCUGUUUCAGUUUGGAAGCUUCUAGAACAUGAAGGAUUAAGUCAUAACAACUGUUCUAAUGGCUGGACCGUGCAUUCCAUCACCGGUGUCAUUUCUGUCACUUCUAUGGACGGAUUUACUGUCCUUCGUUGCUGGCGACACUUCCCUGUGUCCCUGCUUGCCUCUCAAACUCUGACUGGAUGCAAAACAAGCCUUGCAGAGGCCAGGCUAGGAGCCAGGCGGCGGGUCUCCGAGGCAGUGAGACGUGAGGCCAGCAGAAGUAAAUCGUGACCCCCGCUGGGAGGAAACAGGUUUCUGAGGGAAGACUAAACUGGCUCCUGGGAGCCCCUGGUCUUGGGGUAAGUUUUCCCUCCAUUUUAAAUGGGCAAAAAAUAUUUUUUGGAGUAUUUCAGUUUUUCUUCUGCAGUCCUGAAUCUGCUGGAAGGCAGAGGAGGUGAAUUCACAUUUCUGUGAGUUUUCUUUGUGCGAGGCACCUUCUAUACAUGACUGAAUUUCCCUCCCGAAUUUUAUUAUGGAAAGUCUGAAACACACCAGAAAGCUGAGAGUUUUCCAGGCAACACCCAAGUGCCUACCAUACCAAUAACAGUUUGCUUACUUGUUUUUUCACAUACCCAUCUGGCCACCCUCCUGCCAGCUUAUCUUCCUCCUGGAGGCCCCUCGACGUAAGCUGCAGACACCAGCACAGCUUCCUCUAAACACUUCAACAGGUAAACCCUUAACCAGAGCCCAGCGUGUGUUUGCAGGUCUGUGCUGGGGAAGUUUACACGCCGUAAGGGUGCCCAGGCCGGGGACGUCCUUCCAUGAGUCUGGAAGCAACCCCGGGCCCUGCCGGUCCUUCCCUGCCCCCGCCGCAACCAUGGGUAUGACCUCCGCUGCCACGGUUCGCUGUCGGACCUGGCCUGGAGCUUCAGGUAACUGGAGCCCCCAGGAUGCCCCCGGAGGGGACUUCCUCACGCAGGCCAACGUGAGACUCCUCUGCACUGCGGUACUGGUCCCUCUCGUCCCCUCCGCCCACCACUGCGCUGUGCCGCCGUCACCACCCCCCACUGCACAUGCUGGCUCCUCCUCCACGUACCGGCCCUGACUCUGCACUGACCAGGCUGCCUGCUGCCUGCACGUCCUCCCCCUCCAAAGUGUCCCCCCUGAGGGGGUCUGGAUGGGGGGCCGCCUCUUGGGAUCCAGUCUCCCAUUGCACCUCCUCCGCCAUCCUGCCCUUAGCCGCAGCAGGACUCAUACACAAAAUCUUUCCUCCCAAGAGCAGAGGUGCUCGGUGGGAAUUUGAGGAGCCUGCCACCUGCUUCCCAAAAGAAGGAGCCCCUGCUGACUCUCACCAAGGCACUGGCCUCGGAAUGCUGAGACAGGGCCUGGUGACUGCCACUAGCCAGCCGGUCAGGGCCACCCCUGGAAACCACCAGAGAAGGAGGUGCUUCUGUGUCCUCUGCACUUGGUCAGUGAAGAAGCCAACACAGACAGACUCAGCGAGCGCGGGUCCGGAGGUCGGAGAUGAGCACGGCUCUGGCCCCUGCCCUCAAGAGCGGGCCGACCACGGCAACCCCGGGGGGGCCCAGCCUCCACGCCCCCCAGCCAGCACCCUCCCCUCCGGCCUGCGAUGUCCAGAAUCUCAGGGCUGUGCAGGCCAGGAGGGCUGCACGUGGCUCCUGGGGACGGGCAGCGCGGCCCUACCCCAGGGUCCUCUCCGCAGCCCUCUGCCCCUCCUCCCACCGCCCCAUCCAACUUCCAGGAUGCGUCCUCCGGCUGCCCUUGGCCGCUGACCGCGCUCUCCCGGGGAUCUGCCCAGCCCCCUGGCAGGUUCCCCCGAAGACAGGUGGACCAGGCGGCCUCUGUGCCACGGAGCCUCGCUGGCCCCCGCUCACUCAGGCGUCGGGGUCCCGGCCCGGGCCGCCCUGCCCUCCUGUGUGGCCGCACGCCCCCCUCCUCCCAUGUUCCCGAGGCCACCUGGAGACCCUCCCAGCUCGGGCCCGCAGCUCUGGGAGCCCGGGGCUCGCUUUUCCGCUGUGUGCGCCGCUGCGGCCACCGCGGGCACGCCCUGAUGGCCUGGAGGACCAGGGUGAGGAGUCCGGGCACGGCCGCCGACCGCCCGAGCUGGGAACGUGCUUCCUCCAGGUCACACUUCCCUCGCCUCCGGGGACGGUGCUGAGGACGCAUGUGCCGAGUCUGAAAUCUGAAUUCCUGCGCGUGCGGUGGGAAGACCUAGGGUUCAGGUUUCUACGGACGAGGGCUCAGGAAGGCGCCCCGAGCAGAGGGGCUGCACCGUCGCACACGGCUCGAGUCCUUUGUAAAAUACACCUCCUCUCCCCCCGCGGACACAGACUCUUCCUGCCCAUACGGGAAACACGAAAAUGGAGAUCUGGAGCCACACCACGCACAGCAUCUCCGAGGACAGG
ensembl:lncRNA